rnacentral:rRNA from 1 species
UGCUCCCUGAUCUUAGCGGCGGACGGGUGAGUAACACGUGGGCAACCUGCCCUGCAGACUGGGAUAACUCCGGGAAACCGGAGCUAAUACCGGGUAAUACAUCGCACCGCAUGGUGCAAUGUUGAAAGUUGGCUUUCUGAGCUAACACUGCAGGAUGGGCCCGCGGCGCAUUAGCUAGUUGGUAAGGUAAUGGCUUACCAAGGCGACAAUGCGUAGCCGACCUGAGAGGGUGAUCGGCCACACUGGGACUGAGACACGGCCCAAACUCCUACGGGAGGCAGCAGUAGGGAAUCUUCCGCAAUGGACGAAAGUCUGACGGAGCAACGCCGCGUGAGUGACGAAGGCCUUCGGGUCGUAAAGCUCUGUUGUUAGGGAAGAACAAGUACCGUUCGAAUAGGGCGGUACCUUGACGGUACCUAACCAGAAAGCCACGGCUAACUACGUGCCAGCAGCCGCGGUAAUACGUAGGUGGCAAGCGUUGUCCGGAAUUAUUGGGCGUAAAGCGCGCGCAGGCGGUCUUUUAAGUCUGAUGUGAAAGCCCACGGCUCAACCGUGGAGGGUCAUUGGAAACUGGAGGACUUGAGUGCAGAAAAGGAGAGU